UGGGGAAUAUUGCACAAUGGGCGCAAGCCUGAUGCAGCAACGCCGCGUGAACGAUGAAGGUCUUCGGAUCGUAAAGUUCUGUUGCAGGGGAAGAUAAUGACGGUACCCUGUGAGGAAGCCCCGGCUAACUACGUGCCAGCAGCCGCGGUAAUACGUAGGGGGCUAGCGUUAUCCGGAUUUACUGGGCGUAAAGGGUGCGUAGGUGGUCUUUCAAGUCGGUGGUUAAAGGCUACGGCUCAACCGUAGUUAGCCUCCGAAACUGGAAGACUUGAGUAUGCAGGAAGUAGGCGGAAUUCAUGGUGUAGCGGUGAAAUGCUUAGAUAUCAUGACGAACUCCGAUUGCGCAGGCAGCUUACUGUAGCAUAACUGACGCUGAUGCUCGAAAGUGCGGGUAUCAAACAGG
rnacentral:rRNA from 1 species